CGGGUCAANGUUGCUUCGGUAACUGACCUAGCGGCGGANGGGUGAGUAAUGCUUAGGAAUCUGCCUAUUAGUGGGGGACAACAUUCCGAAAGGAAUGCUAAUACCGCAUACGUCCUACGGGGGAAAGCAGGGGAUCUUCGGACCUUGCGCUAAUAGAUGAGCCUAAGUCGGAUUAGCUAGUUGGUGGGGUAAAGGCCUACCAAGGCGACGAUCUGUAGCGGGUCUGAGAGGAUGAUCCGCCACACUGGGACUGAGACACGGCCCAGACUCCUACGGGAGGCAGCAGUGGGGAAUAUUGGACAAUGGGCGCAAGCCUGAUCCAGCCAUGCCGCGUGUGUGAAGAAGGCCUUUUGGUUGUAAAGCACUUUAAGCGAGGAGGAGGCUCCUUUANUUAAUACCUAAAGAGAGUGGACGUUACUCGCANAAUAA
rnacentral:rRNA from 2 species